CAUAGCCGCGGUAAUACGGAGGGUGCGAGCGUUAAUCGGAAUUACUGGGCGUAAAGAGUGCGUAGGUGGUUAAUUAAGUUAUCUGUGAAAUUCCUGGGCUUAACCUGGGCAGGUCAGAUAAUACUGGUUAAUUCGAGUAUGGGAGAGGGUAGUGGAAUUUCCGGUGUAGCGGUGAAAUGCGUAGAUAUCGGAAGGAACACCUGUGGCGAAAGCGGCUCACUGGACCAUUUCUGACGCUGAUGCACGAAAGCUAGGGGAGCAAACAGGAUUAGAUACCCGCGUAGUCCCUGUCUCUUAUACC
rnacentral:rRNA from 1 species